rnacentral:rRNA from 1 species
UGUGUUACCUGCCUUACACAAGGGUAUUAGCCUUGGGAAAACGAAGAAUGAGUACCCUAGUACGUCAAUUUAUCGCAUGAUAGAAUGACCAAGAUUUAUCGGUGUAAGAUGGACUUGCGUCUGAUUAGCUAUUGGUGAGAUAAANGCCCACCAAGGCAACGAUCAGUAGCCGGCUUGAGAGAGUGUACGGCCACAUUGGGACUGAGACACGGCCCAAACUCCUACGGGAGGCAGCAGUGGGGAAUUUUGCACAAUGGGGGAAACCCUGAUGCAGCGACCCGCGUGAUUUAGAAGGCCUUCGGGUUGUAAAAAUCUUUUUUAUGGGAUGAAAAUGACAGUACCAUAAGAAUAAGGUCCGGCUAAAUACGUGCCAGCAGCCGCGGUAAUACGUAUGGACCGAGCGUUGUCCGGAAUCAUUGGGCGUAAAGGGUACGUAGGCGGCCUAGUAAGUUAGAAGUGAAAUAAUAUAGCUCAACUAUAUAAAGCUUUUAAAACUGUUAGGCUUGAGAGAUGAAAGGGAAAGUGGAAUUCCUAGUGUAGCGGUGAAAUGCGCAGAUAUUAGGAAGAAUACCAGUGGCGAAGGCGACUUUCUGGUCAUCCUCUGACGCUGAGGUACGAAAGCGUGGGUAGCAAACAGGAUUAGAUACCCUGGUAGUCCACGCCGUAAACGAUGAGUGCUAAGUGUUAGGGGGUUUCCGCCCCUUAGUGCUGCAGCUAACGCAGUAAGCACUCCGCCUGGGGAGUACGACCGCAAGUUG